UCUUGUCUCACUUCUAACGCGUAGCAACCCUAAUUGCCGCGCCGCCUUCUUCGACAGCGCGCAACCUUCCCGAUCAGGCCACGCCUGAGCGCCUCCGACGUCGUUUUCCGAUUCAUCAGGAGAUAAUCAUUUCCGAUCCGUUCCGUUCCGACGUUCUAUUCGUUCUUUUACUAUUAUAACGUCCGAGAACGGCGUGAGGCGUUCCCGUGCCCGUUCCGGCCGUUCCACGCCCGUUCCGACGUGCGUCAACCCGUCAACCCGCAAUCUGCUAGGGAUCCGAUUGUGGAUUCCCUAUAUAACACUCUCUAUUUCACUGCGCCGCCACCACCAUCCAAACCAAACCCUUUUGAGAUUUGCGUCUAAAGCAGGCCUGGGCAGAUCGAUUUAAUUCUGAGCGACGAUCCAAAAGAAACCGUCUGUUGGUAGCAGAUUUUCUUGCGGAGUGAAAUGUUCCAGUUUGGCCGAAGAAAUGAGGAUAAGUUGAGAAUAAUUUGGCUUACCCAUGGAACUGCAGGAAGAAGAAAAAAAAAACAUUCUGAUGUUUUUAGGUUUGGUAUGGGAGGUAUUGGAAAGAUUUGUUUGGUUAGAAGAUUAGAGGCUCAAGGUUUGCCUCCUAAUCAAGCAUACAUAAUCAUAUCAACAUUGACGACAUUUUUGAAUACUAAUUUAGAUCAUUUGACACAAUCUGUUGUGUCAAAGUCGGCAAUCAAUGAGGAUGGUCAUUUUAAUUCGGUGGAACGAAAAAAUGAAAAACUGGAGAGAGAUUUUAAGAAAUUGGUUAUUAAAUUAACAAGCAAAUUUAACUGGGAAAUUAUUUAAGUGGAAGCAGGACUGGAAGUUGGAAAAUUUGACCUUAUGAAGAAAAUGAAAUAUUGGAGAGAGAUUUUAAGAAAUUGGUUAUUAAAUUAACAAGCAAAUUUAACCGGGAAAUUAUUGAAGUGGAAGCAUGACUGGAAGCUGAAAAAUUUGAGCUUAUGAAGAAAAUGAAAAACUGGAGAGAGAUUUUAAGAAAUUGGUUAUUAAAUUAACAAGCAAAUUUAACCGGGAAAUUAUUGAAGUGGAAGCAUGACUGGAAGCUGGAAAAUUUGAGCUUAUGAAGAAAAUGAAAAACUGGAGAGAGAUUUUAAGAAAUUAGUUAUUAAAUUAACAAGCAAAUUUAACCGGGAAAUUAUUGAAGUGGAAGCAGGACUGGAAGCUGGAAAAUUUGAGCUUAUGAAGUACUGUGUUGGUACUUUUGUUUCAAAAAAACUGUUGAAUUCUGUGGUUGAGUGAGCACGUAACAAGGAUAUGAUGCAGCAUUCUGCUACGCCACAAAUACACAGGUCACAGCUGCCUCUUCUUGCAUGAAAUCUACAAGAAGUCAAUUUGCAUACUUAUGUCGACUGAUAUUCAACUAUUGCUGCUAAUUAGAUUCAAAAAUAAUAUAUAAGCGCCAUUUGAAUCUUGAGUCACACCGUCGUGGAUUGUGAUCCACCAGCCUCUGUUCAUGAAGCUGGGAAGCUGGUUUCCAGGAGGGAGGCAAAGAGGAGUUCGUUCCAAGUGUCGGGCAAUCCGGCCAAGCACCAGUGGCUGCAGUCAGCAAACCUCUUCGGUUCCUUCCUCUGCUCUGGCGUCAGGGACUUCCCCUGCCGUUUAGUGUACACGCCCGUGUGGGCGUCCCGCCUGAACUCUGACAGCUUCGUCACGAUGAGAUAACGCUCUGGCGUCCUCAUCCUAAGGAGGGUCCUCUCUUCCAGCUUCACCAUCGACUUGGGAAACAGCUGCAGAUAUCCCUCGUUGUCGGAGAAGGGUCGAGUUUGGUUGUAGCACCAUUGUAAAUUCUCCCUGCAGUUUAAUCCGUCAUUCACAAUUUCACAUUAACUGAAAUCAAGUUUUGGUUCUGCAUUU